rnacentral:rRNA from 1 species
UACGAAGGGUGCAAGCGUUAGUCGGAAUUACUGGGCGUAAAGGGCGCGUAGGCGGUUGGAUAAGUCAGCUGUGAAAACCACGGGCUUAACUCGUGGCCUGCAGUUGAGACUGUCUGGCUUGAGUGUGGGAGAGGAGAGUGGAAUUCCUGGUGUAGCGGUGAAAUGCGUAGAUAUCAGGAGGAACACCGGUGGCGAAGGCGGCUCUCUGGACCACAACUGACGCUGAGGCGCGAAAGCUAGGGGAGCAAACAGG